rnacentral:rRNA from 1 species
UACGUAGGGUGCAAGCGUUAAUCGGAAUUACUGGGCGUAAAGCGUGCGUAGACGGUCUCGUAAGUCGGGUGUGAAAGCCCCGGGCUCAACCUGGGAAUUGCAUUCGAAACUGCGAGGCUAGGGUGCGGAAGAGGGAAGCGGAAUUUCGGGUGUAGCGGUGAAAUGCGUAGAUAUCCGAAGGAACAUCAGUGGCGAAAGCGGCUUCCUGGUCCAGCACCGACGUUCAGGCACGAAAGCGUGGGGAGCAAACAGG